UUCGCCCUUGUGCCAGCAGCCGCGGGUAAUACGGAGGGUCCGAGCGUUAUCCGGAAUCAUUGGGUUUAAAGGGUCCGUAGUGGGGUUCUAAGUCAGAGGUGAAAGGUUGCAGCCCAACUGUAGAAUUGCCUUUGAUACUGGAGCUCUUGAGUUAUGUUGCUGUGGCCGGAACAUGUGGUGUAGCGGUGAAAUGCAUAGAUAUCACAUAGAACACCGAUUGCGAAGGCAGGUCACAAAGCAUACACUGACACUGAGGGACGAAAGCGUGGGGAGCGAACGGGAUUAGAUACCCCGGUAGUCCACGCCGUAAACGAUGGAUACUAGCUGUUGGGUUUUCGGACUCGGCGGCCAAGCGAAAGUGAUAAGUAUCCCACCUGGGGAGUACGUUCGCAAGAAUGAAACUCAAAGGAAUUGACGGGGGCCCGCACAAGCGGUGGAGCAUGUGGUUUAAUUCGAUGAUACGCGAGGAACCUUACCAGGGCUUAAAUGGGAGAUGACCGGGUCAGAGACGACCCUUUCUUCGACAUCUUUCAAGGUGCUGCAUGGUUGUCGUCAGCUCGUGCCGUGAGGUGUCAGGUUAAGUCCUAUAAUGAGCGCAACCCCUGCCGUUAGUUGCCAGCGAGUCAAGUCGGGGACUCUAACGGACUGCCGGUGCAAACCGAGAGGAAGGUGGGGACGACGUCAAAUCAUCACGGCCCUUACGUCCUGGGCUACACACGUGCUACAAUGGUCGGUACAAUGGGAAGCCACCCCGUGAGGGGGCGCGGAUCUUAAAAGCCGAUCACAGUUCGGAUCGGGGUCUGCAACUCGACCCCGUGAAGCUGGAAUCGCUAGUAAUCGGAUAUCAGCCAUGAUCCGGUGAA
rnacentral:rRNA from 1 species